GUACGUUUUGACCCUUUAUGACCCAGGAAUUCCCUAUUGGCUUAGGUGAAGAACGGGCAAUCGUGAAUGGGAACAAAUCUACGAGUUACUUAGAUGGAGGCGCUGGCUACGUUCUAAGCAAGGGAACUCUGCGGAUCUAUGGCAACGUAACUUAUCACAAUAACUCUCUCUGCCCGAUGGAUCACCAAGGAGAAGAAGACGUGACGUUAGGGAAGUGUUUGACCGAUUCAGGAGUGCUUCUUGGCGAUUCCAGGGAUGAACUUGGAAGGCACAGGUUUCUCCAGGAACCUCCUGUGUAUUACAUAAGAGGGACGUGGCAGAAAUGGUACCCUAAAUACGAUGAUUUACCCUUAUGGCAAGGUUAGUUUCAGGGAAUCGACAGCAUAUCAGAAACGGCAGUAUCUUUCCACGACAUGAAAGAUGAGUCUCAUCUCUACGUGAUCGAGUUUUUCAUCUACAGACUACAGCUCUUCGGCGUCGAAGGCAGAUUCAAGGGACCUCAGAUAGCGCCGCUGCCACCUGAUAUCACUGCUAUAUGAGGUCCUGAAGCGGUUCCAGAAGCCAAAGGCGAACGAAAGUAGAAGUGAGAGGGAAGUGAACAGGACAGGAAAUCCUCCAUCAUUGAAUACACUGAAAACAACUUCUGAUUUCAUCUUAUUCAGUAAAAUGUUGUCUGUUCUUUUAUUAGGUGUAUAAUAUUAAUACUGAUAAAAGCAACAACGAUGGCGAUGAGAAUAUUUAAUAAAUCAUAAAUGAAAUAAGAAUAUUUGAUAAUAUAAUUUGUAUCUUUAUUAUUACCAUUAACUUCAGUAAUGCAUUCUGUGUUAUUAUUUUAAUCAUCAUUCAUAUUAGGUGUUUAAUAUGUGAAGUAGCCUACAUAUAACUGAACUACGGUGGAAAUCAAAGUUAAAUGUACAUAUAAGCAUAUUAAACACUUUUCAGCUCGAAAAGAAUGAAGACCAUUCAGUCUACUUUAUUCUAUUAACAAUGAAUUGAAGUGAAA